CUAGGAAAGUGACCUCCCUCCAGCAGGAGAUGAAACAACUGCAACAGCAGCAAUUGAAGGUUGAAGGGGCUAUGGCAACAAUGGAGGAUUCACGACGCGCCCAGAACCUCAAGGUCAGGGGCAUCGCAGAAUCAAUUCCAGACUCUGAACUCCCCCACCUCAUGCGGCGCCUGGUGAGUACGAUACUGCCACCAAAGCAAGCAAAGGGAGUGGGCCUCGACGGCAUCUUUAGAAUCCCUAAACCACCAACGGCCCCAUCAGCAGCAACUAGGGAUUUAAUAAUCAAGUUCCAGAAGCAACAGGACAAAGACGCAGUAAUGGCUGCCAUUAAGAACACUACACCGCUCACCUUUGAGGACAUGACUCUCUCCUUUUACUCGGACUUAUCUAGGGGGACCAUGGCCUGGCGCUCAACCCUUAGGCCUUUCACCACACUGCUCCGCGAGCGCGAUAUCAGAUACAGAUGGCGCUCACCCCACAAGCUUCAAGUGCUCCAGGGAGGCACCACGUACCUCAUAGCGGACUUGCAAGAGGCGGAGGCCCACCUCUCCACUCUGGGACUCCCGGCAGAUGCCAUACGACGACACGUCACAAACCCCAAACCACACAAAUGGAAUCCGGCCACCUCCAAACCCUUUGUUCCUGGGGAGCCCACCCACACUGCACAGACUGUAGCCACCACCUAAGUGCCUCCGAAGAAGAUGGCCGAGCUUCACCGGCUACUCACACUGUUGUAUUGAACUUCUUUUUCGUUAAUUUACCACAUUACGUUUGCAUUUCAUUUUGUAUAUAGUUUAGGUCUGACAGUACAUUUCAAGGGGACAGGCCCGCUUAAGAGGCUCCCGUUUACCAUGGGCGGCGCUGGGGCAGCACAAUGCCAUCAACUACGCCUGGCCCACGACGGACAGACCCAGGGACUAUCUGCGUCCCCGCAGGCCCUGCAGCAGGGACACUGCAAGACCACACACUACAGUAUGUUUUACAGAAUGGCCCUAGCAAAUAGCAGCAGAGCUGGU